CAUCCACCCACCCACUCUAAAGUUCCGGAACGCUCGUGACCAUAUUAAUGGAACACAAAUAAUAAACUGGAACACAUAACCGUCAUCAAAUUUCUCACCAAGGAAGAUGAAAACACUUCUGAAAUUCGCAAGUGUAAGGGCUAACGACGCACUCAGAGACUACUAGUCCACCAGAAGAAACAUUGAUCCAGUAAAUAUAACAUUAAAAAAAAACAAAUUAGUGUCAACUGGCUGGGUUUGAACCUACUGCACCAAUUCUACUGCACUAAUUCGCAAAGCAUUUGACAGCCCACAUACAUUUUCAAACUAGCAAGCACCUGGUCUACAAAUUAGCAUAGCAUGUCUAAUUUCUGGAAUACAUGACACAUAUUAAAAAAACCACCUUUUUAUUGUA